AGAGUUUGAUCCUGGCUCAGGACGAACGCUGGCGGCGUGCUUAAAACAUGCAAGUCGAACGGACUUCUCAUGAAGCUUGCGAUUGAGAAGUUAGUGGCGGACGGGUGAGUAACGCGUGGGCAACCUGCCCCUGAGCCCGGGAUAACAGUUCGAAAGGACUGCUAAGACCGGAUAUACUUGCGGUGAAGCAUUUCACUGCAAGGAAAGGGAACGCUCAGGGAUGGGCCCGCGUCCCAUUAGCUAGUUGGUGAGGUAACGGCCCACCAAGGCGACGAUGGGUAGCCGGCCUGAGAGGGUGAACGGCCACACUGGGACUGAGACACGGCCCAGACUCCUACGGGAGGCAGCAGUUGGGAAUCUUCGGCAAUGGGCGCAAGCCUGACCGAGCAACGCCGCGUGAGUGAUGAAGGUUUUCGGAUUGUAAAGCUCUGUCUUCCGGGACGAUAAUGACGGUACCGGAGGAGGAAGCCACGGCUAACUACGUGCCAGCAGCCGCGGUAAUACGUAGGUGGCGAGCGUUGUCCGGAAUUACUGGGCGUAAAGGAUGCGUAGGCGGCCUCUUAAGUGGGAUGUGAAAUGCCGGGGCUUAACCCCGGAGGUGCAUUCCAUACUGGGAGGCUAGAGUGCAGGAGAGGAAAGCGGAAUUCCCAGUGUAGCGGUGAAAUGCGUAGAGAUUGGGAGGAACACCAGUGGCGAAGGCGGCUUUCUGGACUGUAACUGACGCUGAGGCAUGAAAGUGUGGGGAGCAAACAGGAUUAGAUACCCUGGUAGUCCACACCGUAAACGAUGGGCACUAGGUGUAGGGGGCGUAGCCCUCUGUGCCGCAGUUAACACAUUAAGUGCCCCGCCUGGGGAGUACGAUCGCAAGAUUAAAACUCAAAGGAAUUGACGGGGGCCCGCACAAGCAGCGGAGCAUGUGGUUUAAUUCGAAGCAACGCGAAGAACCUUAC
rnacentral:rRNA from 1 species